GUUGCCGUGUCUCGGCUCUCGUGCAGAGUACGAGAGUGACAGGGGAGGAAGGGGUUAGGAGAAUUUAUGCAAUGCCGGAAGAGGUGUGGUUGUGGUGUGGUCCUGCUCCCGAAACUACGCUAGGAAGCUUCAAUUUAUACAAUCACUGCCAGUAAAUAAUAACUU